rnacentral:rRNA from 1 species
GUAAUGCUUGGGAAUCUGGCUUAUGGAGGGGGAUAACUGUGGGAAACUGCAGCUAAUACCGCGUAUUCUCUGAGGAGGAAAGGGUGGGACCUUAGGGCCACCUGCCAUAAGAUGAGCCCAAGUGGGAUUAGGUAGUUGGUGGGGUAAAGGCCUACCAAGCCUGCGAUCUCUAGCUGGUCUGAGAGGAUGACCAGCCACACUGGAACUGAGACACGGUCCAGACUCCUACGGGAGGCAGCAGUGGGGAAUAUUGCGCAAUGGGGGGAACCCUGACGCAGCCAUGCCGCGUGAAUGAAGAAGGCCUUCGGGUUGUAAAGUUCUUUCGGUAAUGAGGAAGGGAUGUUGUUAAAUAGAUAGCAUCAUUGACGUUAAUUACAGAAGAAGCACCGGCUAACUCCGUGCCAGCAGCCGCGGUAAUACGGAGGGUGCGAGCGUUAAUCGGAAUAACUGGGCGUAAAGGGCACGCAGGCGGACUUUUAAGUGAGAUGUGAAAUCCCCGAGCUUAACUUGGGAACUGCAUUUCAGACUGGGAGUC